rnacentral:rRNA from 1 species
UACGUAGGCAGCGAGCGUUGUUCGGAGUUACUGGGCGUAAAGCGUGCGUAGGCGGUGUCUUAAGUUUGUUGUGAAAUCUCCCGGCUUAACCGGGAGGGUGCGGCGAAUACUGAGAUGCUGGAGUGCGGGAGAGUUAAGCGGAAUUCCUGGUGUAGCGGUGAAAUGCGUAGAUAUCAGGAGGAACACCUGCGGUGUAGACGGCUUACUGGACCGUAACUGACGCUGAGGCACGAAAGCGUGGGUAGCAAACAGG